GGUCACAAAGACGAAGCUCAAAGACGAAGAAAACCACCGAGAUGGCCAAGGCCUCCCUGAGCCCCAUCGCAUUGCUCCUGUUGGGUCUCCCCUUCCUGGCCUUUGCAGAUAAUGUUCCCGUCAUGAAAGACGUCGACAUUGGAAAGCUGGCCGGGAAGUGGUACACGGUGAUUAUCAUCAAGACGGACAAUAAUCCGAAACCAACCCGCGCCUAUAUAGUAGAGCCCUUGAAAGACGGAGGUAUCGCGAUGAGCAUAGAGAUCCCUAAGGAUGGGACCUGCAUCGUGGGCAAGAUGUUCAUGUCCAAGGUCAGCCCCGGAGUCUUCACCUCGCCACGUAAGCCCAAGAGACAGGUUGCCUUCCCCAGAUGGGAGUUGUAGUUCCCCCGAGGGCCUCGGGCCAUGCCUUGGGGUUCAGUGCGGUUAACGGACAUCUCUUUGCCGUGGGUUUCUCUGGACAGAGGGAAAUGGGACCAUCAUGGAUACGGAUUACAAGACCUACCUCAUCAACCAUUUCACCACAGGAAAAACCAUCUACCUGGAACUUUAUGGCCGAGAGAAGAACGUGUCCGAGGGGGUCAGGAAGAAGUUUGAAGACUUGGUCAAAAAAGUGGGGCUGAAGCCGGUGCAUCGCUUCCCACUGCAGGAGAAAGAUUUGUGCACAAGCCCUCCGGCAAAUGCAUAGGCCCUAAAGGAACCCAGGAGGCAACCAUGGCCUUGUUCGCUCAAAAGCGGGACUCGAACGUUGAGCGGAAUGUGACGACACCGCCAUCACCACCAAGUCCCAACAAUAAAGAGAUAAUGAAACCCUCAAA